rnacentral:tRNA from 1 species
GGAGAGGUGGCUGAGUGGCUUAAGGCGCUCGCUUGGAAAGCGAGUGUACGCUUAUACCGUACCGCGGGUUCGAAUCCCGCCCUCUCCGCCA